rnacentral:rRNA from 1 species
AUUGAACGCUGGCUGCAUGCCUUACACAUGCAAGUCGAACGGUAACAGGUCUUCGGAUGCUGACGAGUGGCGAACGGGUGAGUAAUACAUCGGAACGUGCCCGAGAGUGGGGGAUAACGAGGCGAAAGCUUUGCUAAUACCGCAUACGAUCUCAGGAUGAAAGCAGGGGACCGCAAGGCCUUGCGCUCACGGAGCGGCCGAUGGCAGAUUAGGUAGUUGGUGGGAUAAAAGCUUACCAAGCCGACGAUCUGUAGCUGGUCUGAGAGGACGACCAGCCACACUGGGACUGAGACACGGCCCAGACUCCUACGGGAGGCAGCAGUGGGGAAUUUUGGACAAUGGGCGCAAGCCUGAUCCAGCCAUGCCGCGUGCAGGAUGAAGGCCUUCGGGUUGUAAACUGCUUUUGUACGGAGCGAAAAGACUCUGGUUAAUACCUGGGGUCCAUGACGGUACCGUAAGAAUAAGCACCGGCUAACUACGUGCCAGCCGCCGCAGUAACAC